GGAAGGGCAAGCCAAAUGGCGGUGGCCGCGGUUUUGAAAACUGUUAGGAGAGAAAGACUCGUGUGGGUUCAACUCCCACCCCUUCCG
rnacentral:tRNA from 1 species